UACGUAGGGGGGCUAGCGUUGUCCGGAUUUAUUGGGCGUAAAGAGCGUGUAGGCGGCCAUGUAGGUCCGGUGUGAAAACUCGAGGCUUAACCUCGAGAUGUCAUCGGAAACCAUUUGGCUAGAGUCCGGAAGAGGAGAGUGGAAUUCCUGGUGUAGCGGUGAAAUGCGCAGAUAUCAGGAGGAACACCAAUUGCGAAGGCAGCUCGCUGGGACGUUACUGACGCUGAGACGCGAAAGCGUGGGGAGCAAACAGG
rnacentral:rRNA from 1 species